UUGAUUCUGAUACAUCAGGACUUCAUGUCACUAAAUGACCAUUUACAGUAGAUGGCAGAUGCAUCAUUGCGCUUUUAAAGGCAACACAUAGAUCUGAUCCUACAUCAAAAUCAUCUUCUUAAAGAACAGAAUCAACUGAUUAUGGCUCAAAACCAGCUCCUCAAACAGCAGCAACUUGAGGGAGAAAAGCAGCAGUCUUUAAGCUUAACACACACAAGUGUGGAGUCAAGUGAAGGGCAAGCUGCCACUGUUUCUAACAUAACUCCUGGUGGUUCAGCUACUUCUAAAAGGGGUGGGCUUCCAGUUAGGGGCAAGGCUUCAAGGGGCAGAAAAAAAAUAACUUUUCUUGGUGCCAGCUAGGCGCAAAGGCACAGCAAACUCCUUAUUUGACUUUUUCAGUCACUGUUUAAAAAAUGCCAUAGAAAUUGAAUGGCACAAUUUAACAUAAUCCUUCAUUUAUGUAUUGGUGGCAGCUAGGUGCAAAGGCACAGCAAACUCCUUAUUUGACUUUUUCAGUCACUGUUUAAAUAAUGCCAUAACAAUUGAGUGGCACGAAUAACAUAAUCCUUCAUUUAUGUAUUGGUGGCAGCUAGGUGCAAAGGCACACAAACUCCUUAUUUGACAUUUUCAGUCACUGUUUCAAAAAUGCCUUAGAAAUGGAGUGUCCGAAUUUCAGUGUACCAGACUUGCCAAUGUGACAGACAUUUUUCAUAAACAUAUCCCAUAGUAGGCUGGCUGAUUCAAAUUACUUUAUAUGAUAUGGUUGAAGCUGCCAUUAGCUUAAAAAAAUAACACGUUUGCAAAAGGGUUGUCCCUGAAGUUAAGGGCAGGCCUUGGUGAGGGGCCUACACGCGCCUGUGUGAGUACAGCCCCAUUGAAAAAAGCUAAAUGCGUCUAUUCCUGCGCUCCCCUGCGGCUGAACACAGAAAAAUGGAACGCUGGGGAGCGCAGCUUCAACCGCUUGUCAGUAAGAGCCCUUAAGGAGUGUGUGUUUUGCGAUUCCUAAACUGCUCCUCAUUUGCCCUGGGUGGUACAAUCAUGAAAUGUGUGCAGUCUAUGGCCCCCAGCACAUUGGGCAUUCCCCCAUGCUGAUAAAAUCCUAGCUUAAGUGCUUGCCACGCUUCAUAUAUAUACAAUAUAUAAUUGGCUGUUAGCUUAAGGAUAGCGUCAAACACUUGGGGAAUGAUUCUACACAUGGUAGGCUGGCUGAUUCCCAUUACUUGGGAUAUGACAUGCUGGAAACUGCCAUUAGCAAGAAAAUAUAAGACAAAGAGAAGUUUACACAUCCCUGCCACAGCAUGACUUCUACCCAUCAUUGGUUCAAUGUCUUCACUUAUAUGAGCAUAUAGCUCCAUAAUAGCCUGAUGAUGUAAGCGAAACAUUAACACAAUUUUGCUAUCUGACAAAUUCUCAAUUAAUGCCACUCUUUGAUGAAAGAUUCUAGGACUUCUGAUGGGGGCAAUCUGACAUUUCUCCUAUGCUGCUGAUGCAUCCUUCUCCUCAAUAUUAUAAUUCCAACAGCAGCACCAAAAAGUUCCUCCUGAAAAUUAUUCAUCUUUCUAGCAAAUACACAAACCCACAAAAAAGUAAUGUUUCAUAGGCAAGGCACAGGAAGCACUUUGGCAGGAUAUAAGCCUUUUCAACUGCUUUGACGCAGGCGCAUUUAUGCACCGGUGUUCCCCACAGGACGCCGCCAUUCCCCACUGGAUGCCGGCGUCCCCCACUGGACGCCGAUGUCCCCCAUUGGUUGCCUGCGCUAAUUCAUCAGCGAGCAUCGUCACUAAACAAAUAGGCAACAUUUUAGCCUAUCAUUCUGUAUGAACAUUAUAUUGUCAGGAUUCCAGAUAAUAAACAUAUAACAACAUUAAAAAAAAUACCUUUCAUUUAUGUAAAAUUGGUAAACUCCCUUCCCUGGUCACAUGUCAUUCUCUGAAAGUGUUAUUGUUUGUCUUACUUUGAAAUUGACAGGAUGCCUGGCCUUGGACCUGCAUGUUCACAGGAGACAAGGGUUUGCACAGCAGGAGCCAGACAGCGGGGAGGAAGAGCCCCAGGAUGCUGCCCCUGAGGAAGAGGGAGAGGCAGGACAGGAGGCAGAAGGUGCUGCCCCUGAGGCAGUAGUUGUGGAGGGCGAAACGGAGAUAGAGGAAGGUACAUUUUUAAAGAGAUUGAAAUGUCUCUGACUAUCCCAGUGAUUGAAGUUUUGUUGUAAAUAAAUUAUGAACUGAUGCACUAGUAUGUGUGUAUAUUUGUAAAGAUACCAUUUUUACAUUAUUUUGUCUUAGACAUCUGGGUGGAUGACUUUGGCGGAUCGCCAGAAAUUAGCCCCCCAGCUGAAGGUAAUUUGUAGUAUGAAUGUGUUCCUUGAAGCUUGUUUGCGCAUCAGUCUCUUGAAGUAUUAAUAAUGUAAAACCCUGUAAAACAAUGAAAUUAAUGGAACCAAAAAACAUGACAAAAUUCCCAAUAUAUUUUUCUCAGAAAUCCACAUGCCAGAGCCAGAACAAGGCAAUCCUGGCAGGAGGCAGAAGUGGAGGCAAGGCCGGAAGAUGCUGCAGAGGCACCAAGCCAGGAGCCCAUCCUUCCUGAGGUCUGGAAAUACGUCCAGCAACUGGAAAAAAGGGUGGAGCUCCUGGAACAGAAACAAUACAAAAAAAUACAAAAACAAACAAUUUUUGAAUAAAAACUAUUUUUUGUAUCCUU